GUGGAGAACCAUCGAGAAAAGAAAGAAGGGAAAAAGGGAGAAGGGGAAUUUGGCGUGGGAAAAAAGAGAGGGAGAGGCCAUUUUCUUCUUCUUCCUCCUUUACUCACUUCACCCCUUGCAAACUAUUUUCAACAUAACUUCCUCAUACGAUAAUGAAUUCACACUAGGCCAGAAGCUAUGCUUUCGUAGCAAAGCUGUCUUCAAUCUGAUACCAUACCCACCCUUUGAAAACCGGUGUACAAAGAAAACGAGGCCCAAACAUAUUGACGUUUUCCGGCAACUUUCCUCCGAUUUCGGCCAACCCCGCUGGAACCUGGCCUCGACCCAAGUGAAAAUAAUGAUUCUUUCCCGUGGGCUCUCCUCUAGCCGGAUGAAGAGCUUAAGACUGCUAGGAAUUUAUAUUUUAUUUUGAGGCACUUGGAUAAACAGUUUGGUUUUCUAUGUUAAUUAUUAAGAAUCAUUGAUAUGGUUUGGCUGGUGUACUAGUUACGAAUAAUUAUUCAAAUGUUAUCGUUUAGGGAUUGCAUGUUAUUCUAUGGGCUGAGAACUAGUUCCUUGAUAUCAAACAUUAUACCUAUUCUCUAGUUGAAUAUGACUAUGUUCUGAAUUCAAGACCAAUUUAAUAUGGCGGGUCAA